UUCGAAAUACCUCGACUUUUUUAGAACAGGUCCGAGUCAAAUGGCAAUGAUUCAAAGCACUUCUUUUUCCAUUACACUAUUUCGGAAACCUAA
rnacentral:rRNA from 1 species